rnacentral:rRNA from 1 species
AGAGAGAGACAUGCGCGCAUAUCAAUAAGCGGAGGAAAAGAAACUAACUAGGAUUCCCUCAGUAACGGCGAGUGAAGCGGGAAGAGCUCAAAUUUGAAAUCUUAAAGGUUUCCCUUGACGAAUUGUAGUUUAAAGAAGUGUUUUCUGUUGGAGGUUUUGGUAAAAGUUCUUUGGAAUAGGACAUCAUAGAGGGUGAGAAUCCCGUAUUUGACCAUUAUUUCCAGCUUUGUGAUACACUUUCAAAGAGUCGGAUUGUUUGGGAAUGCAGUCCAAAAUGGGUGGUAAAUUUCAUCUAAAGCUAAAUAUUGGCGAGAGACCGAUAGCGAACAAGUACCGUGAGGGAAAGAUGAAAAGAACUUUGAAAAGAGAGUUAAACAGUACGUGAAAUUGUCAAAAGGGAAGCGUUUGACACCAGUGUUGUUUUCUCGAAAAUCAAUUAAAAAAGGCAGGAUUUUGUGUUGUAUUGACUUUAUCAGCUUUCUGCACUCUUUUCUUGUCUUUUUUAAUGCACUUUUCGUUUAACAAGUCAACAUCAAUUUCUUUUGUUGUAAAAGGGUCAUUGGAAGGUGGCUUUCUUUUCGGAGAAAGUGUUUAUAGCCUUUGGCCUCUGCAAUCGGAGAGAUUGAGGUCUGCAGCGUAGAUCCUUCGGGGUUAGAUACAUUUGUGCUAAGUUAUAGCCUUUCAUAGACAACUUGUUGACUAUGAUCAGUCAUGUAGCUUACUCGCUUAUGCUAUUUUACCUACGCUUAGGAUGUUGAUGUGAUACUGCGAGCA